CACGGGUACACUCUUGUUUGUUAAGUAUUUAAGUGUUAAUCCGAAUUUAGAAAAAGAAUUUUGAGCCUAAAAUAGGACUAUAGGUAAUAGCGACUUCAACUUCCAUUUAAUUCCGCGCCUAAUCCAUCAUCUAUAAAAAGAGACCUCCCGCCUUCCGGAGCACCGAAGAGCGAAACCACUCAUCAGUCAUCACAAUUACAAUUUCUCUCUCUAAAAACCUCAACCUCUUUCUCUUUCUAAAUUCACACUUCUUUCAAAAUCCAUCAAAGUUUCAUCUCUAAUGCCGGAAAUGUACGCACUCAAAUCUGAAGAACAGAGCCAACAGUUGCAGCUUGUUCAACGAGAAGAAAUCGAAGAUGAAGAGGACUUGUUCGAAGCUAUUGAUAAGUAUGGCUAGAUGCUUCAAGAUGCCACUUGCAUUGUAAUGGCUUGAUGAUGCAGACGAAGAAGAAUUUGACUGGUAUUAAAGGAUUAUCUGAGGCUAGAGCUGAUAUUCUGAUAAAAUAUGCGAAGCUGCCAAGAAGAUUGUGGUAAGUUCUCUGCAAUGAUGCAAUCUGAUUUCUCAAUUAUUCGGUCUGUCAAAUUGGUUUCGAACCUAAUCAAAUAAUGUUGUUAAGCUUUAAUCUAUCCAGAAUUAUGGUUACCUUACAGGAAGUGAUGCUGUACUUUGAUAAAUUUUAAAAUUAUGGUUACCUUACAGGAAGUGAUGCUGUACUUUGAUAAUCUGAUUUCUCAAUUAUUUGCUCAAAGUAAGAUCCUGUACUUUGAUAAAUUUUAAAAUUCGGAAUUUGAAAAUAUGAAAAUUCCGUUAAGGACUAUCACUUGUUCUUAUAGAUUUAAGUUUAUAAUUUAUGAAGUUUAUGCUCUUGAUUCCCCAUCCUACUGCUGUGGCAACAUUUCCAGGGUUUUCCGUGUUUGUUGAAUCAUUUUUUGCUCAGAAAAUGACUAGCUGAGGACUAAUUUCCAAAUAUUUUUACUUCUUUUCUUGGUUUUAAGGCUACAUUUUACUUUUUGAUUGAUUAUAUACUAGCAUAAGCAAAUUUAAUUAUGUUUACUAGUUACCUAUCUAAUUUUCUGGCCUCAUGGCUUGAUAAUGAUUCUGCUCAGCUCUGAAAAAACUCAGCUAGCACAUACUCUAUGCGUCUCAACACAGGUAAAGCUUCUAUUGUAUGCCAGAUUCAUGAUCUUAAACAUAAACAGCUAAAUUUUGUAGGCAUUAAGUUUAAUCAGCAUACUAAGAAGAAAUAACCACUAGAUUAGACUAUAUUUUUGUUGGGAUUGCAAUUUGAUGAAAGUAUUAAAGCGCUUUACAAGUUACAACCUCUGACUUGUAUGGUUGUUAACAGUCAGGUUUUAUUGUUUCAGUUAAUUUGCUACUUUAGUCGAACAUUUCAACCUUAGAAUCGGAUUUUCAGGAAACUGCAGGGUAUUCAUUGACAAAAUUAGGAUGAUAGUGUACUUGUAUUACUGAGUUUGUAAGUCGGUGACACAUUGCCUCAGUUGCUUUUUAAAGGAAACAAGAAAUGGUCUCACAUGUUCUGUAAAUGAAGGAUAAUUUGUCCAUGCAUGUGUUUGAUGUAAACAUGUGUUUUGAUUUCCUUGAGGGUAGAAGUCUCAAGUUAAACUGGUAAAGUUUACUUGUUUUGCAAUGCUUACCUUCAGCUUCUGACUAGCAUGAGAGGAGGAAGUGGGAACGUUGCCUAAAUCGACACUGAAGGAACUUUGUAUUCUCUCUUGUCAUUCUAUUUAAAUUUGUAGUACUGAAACAGAUUAAAAAUUGUGCAACUGAAGUACAUUUAAAAAUAUUUUUCUCUUCACUGACUACACUACAGUCGACCAGAUCGUAUUGUGCCAGUUGCUGAAAGGUUUGGGAUGGAUGCUGCUGCUGUCCUAGACAAUAUCAUAUAUGCACGUGCAUAUACGUAUGAACAUCAGUGCAACCUCCUUGGCUUGGCAGCAAAAGUGGCUGAGGAACCCUUCCGACUACUGAUUUUGUCAUUGCUCUAUUCCGAAUUUCCGAGUGGAUUUCACAGGGAAGAGAAGAGCUUGCAGACUGACAGCAAAAACUGGCCCAAAUACUGUCUCGUUUGAUGAAGUUUGCUGAAGAGUUCGACAUUGCUAGCAGACAUUCAAAUCAAUAUAUCUGUUACCAGAAAGAGCAAAGGAAAAGUUGCCAGGGAAGAGAGAAAGAAGUUAAAGAGGGAUAAAGCACGAUUUACUGCUAUGUGGCAAGAAUAUCUACGUUCUCGACCGCCAUCGAUCGAGGAGGAACCACCACCACCUAAUUGUGUUUAGGCUAGUGUUUCGUUAGAAUCCUAAAAACUUAGCAUUGACUAAGUUAGUACUCGAUGCUCUUUUAUGAAGGUGUCGUUUGGUUGACGAAAAACACAUCAAAAGUCCACGAAUUGAAAUUUGUUGACGUUUGGUCGAUAAAUUCAAAAUUUUCCACUUCUUACAAAGUGGAGGUGCUUUAUUUUCUAGGGAAACUUAAGGGAAAUCGAAAUUCCCAAUCGAAUGAUUAACCAAACCAUUAAAUUUUUUUCAAGAAAUCCAAUUACGAAAUUGAAUUAGCAAUUCCUACUUUCAACCAAAUGAGCCUACUUUCAACCAAACGAGUCUUAAAUCAACAAUUUGCUGGGUUCUAAGAGGUAGGGGGAAAAAUCACUUUUGGGUAGUAUCUUCAAUCUUGUUUAGUGAUAAUAGAAUUGUCAGUUUGUAUUGUGAGUUUUUGGCAUG